UGUGUGUGUGUGUGUGUGAAAUAAUAGACAGUAAGUAAGGAUAAGAAAAAACAAUGGAGGAAAAAUCACCCCUUAACAAAAGGUGGCAGGCAGGUGUUGACUCUUGCUUUAAACUUAUCAAUAUCAACAAGAGAUUCUAAUAUGGCUGCCCCUCUAACUGUGUCUCCCUCGUCUUAGCCAGCAGCCCCGAGCAGCAGCCGUCCCCCCUGAUGGUGCACUCCUCUCAUCCUAUGUGGGGGUGCUGCUGGUGCUGGAACACUGCCCCCCCGCCCCCCAACCCUACUGCAAGGGGAAUUUCUCAGGGCAGCACUCACUCCCUGAAGAAGGUGCCGGAGAGGGGGGUCGGCUGCCGAGAUGGUCAGGCUCACCGGCAGGGUUGUGGACGCCAUGUCUGAGAAGCAGCCGCAGCCCGGGGUUAGACGUGGAGAAGGUUCAGUCCACCGUCCGCCAGGCUGUGCGUGACUGGUCUCCAUCAGGCACAUUGGAGCGGCCCCGUCACUAGCAAGAGUGACCUCCUCUUCCCCAGGACACUGUGGAGGUACUGUCUGGGUCUCCAUGGUGGCCGGCGUCAUGGUGUGGAGCCUAACACUCUGGGCCUUGCUCAGGAUCGUACAAACUGGGGUGGAGAAGCACCCGAUGAAGCUCACCCGGGCACUUUUCUACGGGUGGGGCCUGCUGCUCGAGGACACGCCCUAUGACCCGCCCGAGGGAACACACGGCCUGGACAGCGGGGGCCGGGGAAGCAUGGUCCAGUAACACACUCAGUUAAAUUUACGAUAUAUUUUAUGAAAACAAAAUGCAAAGUUUAAUAAUGGCACCAAAUUUAUCAUUAACCAACAGCUAGACUGAUGAGUCAACAGUAAACAUUCAAAACUCUCAGUAAGUGACGUAAGUCAGACAGCAGCUUUAUAUCAAGCAAACUUAACAACUUUUUUGUACAUGCUGCCAAUAGCGCCUGCAAGCUUCCUUGAGAGGCCUCUUGCUCGACCCCAGCCCGUUAGCGGCGCAGGCGAAUCUUUUUUUUUUAUAGUGGCUGCCGUGAUGUAUGACUCUUGCUUGGCCCAUGCUGCCCCCCGGUGCUCCUCUUGGACGAAGUCGCUGAAGUUAGGGUUUAUUGAAGGCCUGGGCAACACGUGGGUAACCUUCCGCCACUCGGCGAUGGCUUGAAAUAUCAGCGCGUUUAGGUGGGACUCGAUCCUAGGUCCACGGGCUCACCACGUACUAGGGUAUUAAUCCAAGGCUGAAUUUCCUGUCACAAACGCAUAAAAAAUAAAUAAUGCUGUAGAAAUACUUUGUGACUCCUUAAAGUAAACGUUUUC